CAGCAGCAACGGGAAUACAGAGGGUGCGAGCGUUAAUCGGAUUUACUGGGCGUAAAGCGUGCGUAGGCGGCUUCUUAAGUCGGAUGUGAAAUCCCUGAGCUUAACUUAGGAAUUGCAUUCGAUACUGGGAAGCUAGAGUAUGGGAGAGGAUGGUAGAAUUCCAGGUGUAGCGGUGAAAUGCGUAGAGAUCUGGAGGAAUACCGAUGGCGAAGGCAGCCAUCUGGCCUAAUACUGACGCUGAGGUACGAAAGCAUGGGGAGCAAACAGGAUUAGAUACCCCCGUAGUCCCUGUCUCUUAUAC
rnacentral:rRNA from 1 species